AACGAACGCUGGCGGCAGGCCUAACACAUGCAAGUCGAGCGGGACCUUCGGGUCUAGCGGCGGACGGGUUAGUAACACGUGGGAACGUACCUCUCUCUACGGAAUAGCCUCGGGAAACUGAGCGUAAUACCGUAUACGCCCUUUGGGGGAAAGAUUUAUCGGAGAGAGAUCGGCCCGCGUCUGAUUAGAUAGUUGGUGGGGUAAUGGCCUACCAAGUCUACGAUCAGUAGCUGGUUUGAGAGGAUGAUCAGUAACACUGGGACUGAGACACGGCCCAGACUCCUACGGGAGGCAGCAGUGGGGAAUCUUAGACAAUGGGCGCAAGCCUGAUCUAGCCAUGCCGCGUGAGUGAUGAAGGCCUUAGGGUCGUAAAGCUCUUUCGCUGGGGAAGAUAAUGACUGUACCCAGUAAAGAAACCCCGGCUAACUCCGUGCCAGCCGCCGCCGUAA
rnacentral:rRNA from 1 species